GGAACUCUGGUCUAUGACGUCUGAUAUCUACUUUGAUAACUUCAUUAUAUGUUCAGAAAAAGAAGUAGCAGAUCGCUGGGCAGCAGAUGGCUGGGGCUUGAAGAAAUUAGUAACGGCUGCUAACGAGCCUGGUAUGUUUAGUCAACUGGUGACUGCUGCAGAAGACCACCCAUGGCUCUGGGUUCUUUACAUCUUGACUUUAGCUCUCCCUGUUGGUCUAGGGGUGUUGUUCUGCUGGCCAACAAAGAAAACAGAUGAAGAUAUUGACUUUAAAAAACCUGAUAUAUCUAAGCCAAUUACAAAAGGAGAACUAGACCAAGAGGGAGAGGAGUUAAUGAUGAUGAAAUACAAUUAGAAGAAGAAAAAGGAAAUGAAGAUACUGCUGAAGAUGAAGAUGAGGGUGGAGGAGAAGAAAAUGACAUUGCAGAUACAAGUCAAGAAGAAGGUGAUAAGUCAAAUAAAUCUAGUUCAGAAGAUGAGGUGAAAGAAGCUAACGAAGACACAGGUUAUGGAGAUAGUCCACUGAAAUCAGUGCGCAAAAGAAGAGUACGGAAGGACUGAGUUACUUCCAGCUAGUUUUUGUACAUCUAGAUGAUAGCAACUU